CCUCCUCACCGCCAUGUUCUCGUACCGCGUGGCAGCGAUGAUGCCACUGCCCGUUGCAGUGGUCGUGUGGGCCAUGGCUGGGCUCACGAUUGCUGCGGGCUUCUACGCCUUCUUCAUUUACAAAGAGAAGACGAACCCCAUCGACGUCCCAAACCCUUCGAAGGUCUGAACAAAGUGAGCGUGCAGCCAGCCUUCUGGAUCACCAUUCUACCACGCAACUUUUUUUCUUUUUUUCUUUUGAUCCCACUGUGUUAUGAAGGCAUCCUGAGACUUGCAGUAUUUUAAUUCCUUUGGAUGUAUCCACACCACAAAUAUAUAAAUCAUCCAUUGUAGUAAAACAGCUCGAAACUACUGUUAAAAAAAAUAAAUAAAUAAUUAUCUGUUCUCAGAUUUCAGCCCUUUGUUGUGGCUGUUGUGGUUUUUUUGCUCACGUAUUUCUCACAGGGAAAAAGAAAAUAUCCAAGAAUUGAGUGGCAAUAUUGCUUGCAUAGAGUAAAUCAACUAGGGGUCUAAGAGGCUUUGUUGUGGCUCCUGCAAAUUUGAGUCCGGCAUGGGAAGGCAGCAGUCAUAAAUUUUGACAUCCUCUUCGAUGACAUCUCACUUCAAAAUAAUCCAUGGACGGUUGCCAAGAAUCUCCUUUCAAAAUCAAAUUCAAAUCAUAAAGACAUGCUUUAAGUAUUUCCGUGCUGCUAAAGCAUCAGUAUAGGGGACGGUAAGCUGAUUCAACAAUUUCCAUUUCCUCAUGACAAUAAUUUUCUAUAAACCACAUUUGCUGCUUGAUUCAUCAGCUUACAAGAAGAUGGUUCCAUCAAAGUUAAUCCCCUGGUUCUUCUAAGGAGCUUCAGCUUCCCAUAAUGAAAACAUGCAUGCAGUACAUAAGAAAUCCUGGACCUACCCAUUCUUCUUUCCCAGUUUUGACGGCGACUACUGACUUAGGGCACUCCAAGCAUCUAAAUUUUUCCAAGAAUCCGCUGAGAAAGUUCAAUACCUUCUAGUUGAAACAUGAUUUUCACCUCAUAAAUGCCCUAUCAAUUCCCAACCGCCCAACCACUAGGUACCUUCCCGUGUCGACAACAGCACCAAGAAUCCUAUAGCUUGAUGCAGAGCACAAUGACAAGAUCGUUGACGAGGUCAGACAAGGCAGAGAAGCAGAACCAAUUGGAGCUCAUUACCUGCUGGGCUGAUAGCUGAUCUCAUCCGUUUCAUCUUGAUCCUCAAACGCUUCUUACAAGAUCGUCCCACAUUUGCCGAAGCAGCAAUUGUUUUAUUAGAAAUCUUGCAACUUUGCAGCUGUAUUACAUCCACACAUAUUACGCGUCCAAACUCUGAUUUUUCUUUGAUCUUGUGGUGUAGAUAUACACAAUGACGAUCGUGAGCUCGACUCAACUAUUUUGCAUGUUAAUGUCGCUAUCCCUUUGUAUUUGAUUGAAAUCAGAAAUGCAUCUGCCGUCCAGCCAUUUACUGAAGACAGAAGAUGGUGAACAGAAAUUGAUGCUUAUUUUAUGAACUUUGGAACCCGCCCUAGCUAUUCUAUUGCUUAGACGGCCAACAUUACAUAUUCGCACAAAUUUAGCCUCUAUUAUAUUUUUGAUAGACACCUAAUACAAGUCUCAUAGGCUGAAAGACAAAAUUGAAAACAGCCGGUGAGGAUUAGGCCUCGUACAUUAAAUCUUUAAUAGCCCUGGCACAAGGGCCAGACUGGAACACCUAGCAGCAGCAGCCUAAACCCGUGGACAACUAAUUUCCAACACGACCGCCAACGGGUCGCUUGAUGGACCUGGAAGUCGGCAUGCCCCUUUUACAAGCUUCUCUGAACUUUUGCCUGAUGGAAUGCAUCAAAGUUCUUUAUUUGCGCAGUUUACAACUCAGCUCUGUUUUGCUGCAGGAGCAAUUACUAAUAGCAUCUCCUACUAACAUGUGCUAGGAUUGAAUGACACGUUGUAGACUUACAAUUCUCAAUUCAAAGAUCAUUUCUCUUUAUUACUAAUCCAAUAGGUGCUAUCUGCUGGUAGAUGACUAGGAUAGAAUGUAGAGAAACAUUUGUUGGAUAGCUAAAUGAGUAAGCUACUCUCUAAGAAAAUAGUAUCUCCAAUAUCCGUCCAAUUGAUAAACCAACUCUGAACUGUAUGAUAUCUUGCUGCUGAUUCAACGAACAACUGACCUAGAAAACCAGCAUACAGUACAAUUGGUUGGGGUAUAUCAGUUCAACAGAUAGGUUUAUAAGCUGCUGGUGAUUGUAUGUCUGCCCUGUGAGAGCCUUAGAUCUGUACCAUCCUAUCCAAACAGAUUAUAAUUGAUGAUUCAUAUAGAGAAUAAUAAAAGGUCCAGCCUAGUUAAAAAUUGUGUUCCAGAUCCAGUCUGACAUAAAAAGGGUCUGUUCAUAUCGGGCUCAUCCCCAAAACUUGGACUCUGUACAUCCAUUUGAGCUCCAGAAAAUCUGAUAUACAGUCCUCUAAGUCCUUGAGAAAUCUUGUCCUUGUGAACCAACUCUCUCCAUAUAUGUCAAUGAAGAGGUAUCAUCCAUGGGGGUCCUUUCCACCAUCCCAAAAUGGCCAAAGCCUUGAACCGAGACUCCUUUAAGUGGAACAAGGUUACCUUUCUAUACCAUGGUCAGGAGGAACAGUCCUCGGCAAUCAACAUUUUUGAAUUCCCACAAAUGUUUGGCAGCAUUUUGACAACAGCAUCUUAACCGGAGCAUGGAAUCACUUGAAGGAGGAUUCCAGCUGCUCGAGUCCAGUCAUGGUAACAGCAGUCUCAUGAAUGAGCUCCUUAAUUUGUUAACAGCAACUCUACCCGUUCCAAUCUUCAAGGCAGGAGGCGCCCCAAUUUUGUGGGGGAAUGCCUCCACUCAUCCUCAUCCUUCCCCGUAAAAUUCUUGCAUUAAUCUUUUCAUUAAAUUAAUGUUGCUUCCAGCAAACUUCUUAAAUCAUUUCCACUGAAUGGAAAGUCACAAUCUUAUUGAGAGAAAGAUGCUGAUUUGAUUGCUGAAGCUGGGUUGGUGGCUAUAACCUCAUCAAAGAUAGAAAAGGUUUGUGAAAGAUAGGAAUCAUAUAACAACAUUGUUCGCACAAGGGGGAAAGGAGGGAAGGUUACGUCUCCUGAGAUAAGUGAACUCAAGAUGUACAUCAACAUCAUUGUUGUUGAUUAUGUACAUCAAAGAUUAAAGCAUAGAUUCAUAAAAGAAUUCAAUAACCAUAUGGUGCAUCCUUAUGUGAUAUGGCUGACACAAUAUGGUACGAUAUCAUGCCAUCUGGUUAAGUAUGAGGGCUCAUACAGACGAAAAGGACCAUGUAGAUCCAUGUGGGUCCGUGUCGACCAGCAUAUCUUGAUGCGAUGUAGCACAACACUAUACAUCCAACAAUGUUCAGACUAAUGGACACUAGCAACUAAGGGCGCAUUUAGUUCAUGAUUGAGAAUCGGGAUAACCAUAUUUCCGACAUUUUUGGUUCGUGUCUGGAAUUGGAAUCGAAAUCAGAAUCAGAAUGAGAUUUGAAUACUAGGGAGAGUCGGGAUUGGAUUUUGAGAGAUUGUGAUGAGGACAUCAAAGUGAUCGUCCGCCCAUCUAGUCCACCAUUCUUAUUUUGGAUCUUAUUUGUGUUUUAUUUUUGGGCUUGUUUACAUUUUUAUUGUUGUAGGGCUUUAUUUGUGUUAUUUUUGGGCUUUAUUGAAAAUUAUUUUGUGCAAGGUUUUAUGUUAAUUGUUCUUAUUUGGGCCCUAUAUAUAGGGGACUCUCAUCAUGAUUAGGUUUCAAUGAAGUGAAUAAGAAUUUCUUUCCCCACGUCUCCUCUCUUCUCUCUUUUCCCCCCCUUCACUUCCCCCCUCUUCUUUCCUUCUUCUCCUUCUUCUUUCCCCCUUCCUCUCUUCUUCUUCCCCUUUCUUCCUUCCCCUCUCUCCUAUUAUCUUUGAUCUAUCGCCACAACAGCCUUUCCCGUCUUGGUGCUGCAUCAACUUGGUAUCAGAGCAUGUCGGCUUUGCCCCAGUUGUUUUCUCUCUUCUCUCCCUCAGUUCCCAUCAACAACCAGAACAAGAGAAAAAAUCCCCAUCGCCGGAUCCUUCCCACCAGCCUCCAGACUCGCGGUCGCCGCCUCGACCACUCACCGCCAGUUGCUCCGCACGCCACCAACGCCUCCUUGUCUACCAUCCUCCGACGCUGCCGCCCCGUUCGCGUCCGACCCCGCCGUUGCCAUCACCAACCCCUUCACCCAAGGCCGCCCUCGCCACCGAUCGCCGUCGGUGACUCGCCACCAGAAGCCGCCACUGGCCAGAGUCCGUGACCAGCCGCCGCCUGUCGCCGCAGAGCCCCGCCGUAGCCCGUCCCCGCAGCCACUGCCACGAGGAACGGCCCGCCCUCCCAAGCCGUCGAGAGGUUGAAGACGUUCUGCUCAACGGGUAAGAGUCCCCCGUGGUUAGCCCACAAUCCGGUAACUCGGAUCCAAAAAAAAAUAGUGCACAUGAGUUGCACGUGCGGGCUGUACGGAUAUCGGAGCGGGUUGCGUCCGAAAAUCUAAACCCAUAAAGGGUCAAAAAAAAGAAAAAAAAAAGUAACAUGUUUGUCUCCCUCCCCGUGACUGCCCUACUCCUCCGCCGCUUAUGCCGUGCCACCGAGCUCCCUCCCCGUUGCGCCGUCUCCGCUUCGCCACCGCCGUGCUUCACCUCCUUCGGCCGUCUCCUUCCCGCGGUCGACCGCAGACGACCGAAGCCAACCUUUGCCGAGCCCCGACGAGCUCCACCGCCGAGCCGCGCCGCCUCCUCCAUCCUCCGCCUGCUCUGCCGAGAACCGCCACCUCGGCCUCCCCCACCGUCGCCGCUUCCCAGCUGCUGCACCGAGCCACUGCGGUUCGGUUCCUCACCGCCGCCGAGCUCCACCCCUUCAUCCCCUCCACCUCACGACACUGGCCAACACCAGGCCACCCAGCCGACCAACCCCCCCUCUCCCCCAUCUCCUUCCAACGCCUCUCUAAAUCCUCUUCUCCCGAAUCCCACCCACUUCACACCUCCAUUUUCUUUCACGGGCCACCUCUGUCAUUAGACUCGAGCCCGUUUUCACCCCAACCCUCCUCGAGGACCCAAACAACCUGCAGGCCCGUCAGGCCUUUUGGGCCCGCCAACGCACACCACACCAGCCCCCUCCUUCGUAGGCCCUGUCUCAGGCCCGAUCCAGCACAUUCUUCAGUCCAUUCCAGGAGCCCAAGAGCCCCUUUUGCUGCAGGUCUAGGUCCACAGCUUCAGCUAGCUCUCUGCACUGCGCCCGUUAUCCUCUUUGCGCUCGAGACUCUACAACGGACGCUUCCGGUUGACUGCAUCUACAACAGGUAAUAGGUUCUUCCUUCUUUUGGGCUUGCUUAUCUAAUUGUGUUCUAAUUCUCUGCAUGAUGACCCCAUUUUGAAAAUUUACUUUACUGUCAAACUUCAAAACUUAGAACAUCUACUACCAAACCCAUCCUAUUCACCAUUUAAAUCUAGAUAUUAAAUUAGCACACCCUAGCGACAGGAUAUUUUUCAACAUCCGUCGAUCGGGUUGCUUUAGGAUUAGAACUACUGUAAAACAUACUUGCAACCUAACUUCUUAUAGUGAUUAAUUUCAUACUUUAAUUCCGAAGUAACCGAAGUACAAAUCGGUAACAUUUAAUUUUAAGUUACUUUUGUAAAAAAUUGCUGAUUUCCGAAUUCAUAGUAGGUUGCAUUAGUAGGUUGUUUUGCAUUACAUUUAGUCAGUUAGAGUUCAUUAGUAACAUUGCAUUUCAUAUUAUCAACUAGUGUUGUCAUCGCAUGCCAACCCAUAGCGGUAAGGAGCACCACUUCGUUCAACCUAAAACCCCUUGAGCUACCAUGGAUUCCGAGGCUCUACAAGAUCUCAUGGAACAGUUCGCUGCCAUUCAAGUUGACCAUGAAGAAUUCAAGCGAGAGGUUCGUGCACUAGUACGACACAUUAGGACUCCUGAGCCGCCAACCCCAAUCGCAGCCUAUCAUGAGUUCGGUUUGGCCGCACCACCUGUAGGUCUUUCCCAUCUUCCUAGGAACCAACAUCCUCCUGAUUACCAGCACAAUCUUGACGAAUGGCUACUGUGUACCGUAAGAGUAGAUGCCCCCACCUUUGCUGGUCAAUUAGAGCCAAGCGUGUAUCUUGAUUGGAGAGCAGCCAUGGAUAAUUAUUUUGAGUGGUACGAAAUGACUGGCAAUAGAAAAGCACGAUUUGCCAAAAUGAAGCUUAUUGGGCAAGCUCAUUGGUACUGGCAUAAUGUUGAACAUAUGCGUAGGACCCAAAGGCUUUCUCGUAUCACCACAUGGAAGGAUAUGAAGAAAAAGCUGAAUGAGAAGUAUCUGUCAUUCUCUUACCGACAACGCCUUAUGGAUAGGUGGCAGAAACUAACUCAAGGAACAUCAACCAUUGCAGAUUACAUUGCACGAUUUGAGGAGUUUCAUAUGAGGUGCGGUGUAAUCGAAGAGGAGACUGUUACUCUCUCUAGAUUUCGGACAAGAUUCCGUAAGAAGAUUUAGAAAGAACUAAUCCUCCGAGAGAUUACCACCCUUGGCCAAGCAUACCAGUUGACUCAAGAUGUGGAUAGUUUAUUACAAGUCCCUGUAGUGAGGCAUACCGACCCUUAACCCAAGGCCCCAAAAGCCCGGCCUAAUUAAAUUUAUCUUCCGCAACCCAGACCGCUUUCUAAUCCUUCUAACCAGCCCGGCCCUAGCCAAGCACCGACUAGGAUAUCACCGAUGCCUAUCCAAAAUCCUUCAAAUGAUAAAGAAAAAGACAUACUAGAUCCCAACCCUCAUUCUAGAAGCCAAACCCAAUGUUUCAGGUGCCAAAAAUUUGGCCAUAUAGCAUCCCAAUGUAAUACCAAGACCUAUCUAAUGACUGAACUCGAAGUUGAAACCCAAGAGAAUAAAUGUGUCGAAUAAGUCUACGAACCAAACAUCGAGGAUUUUGUAGAAGACUUUGAAGACGAACAGAUCGGGUUAGAGUUUAUCCAAGCUGAACCCCAAAAUGAGCUCACUGAUCCGCAUAACCAAAACUCUAGGCUUCAUGUGGUUAGGUAUACUCUAGCUCAUACUAAGACCAAACAAGAUUGCCGUAGGACCUUCCUGUUUUACACGCUCAUUAAGAUCAAUGGUAAAACGUGCAAAAUCCUAUUUGAUAGCAGGAGUUGCAUCAAUGCCAUUGCUUCCAGAGUUGUUUUCCGCCUCGGCCUGAAAUCUAUCCCUCAUCCCAACCCAUAUAAGGUAGCUUGGGUAGAUAAGACAUCCAUUUCGGUGUUGGAAAGAUACCUUGUCCCGAUUCAUUUCCUAUCUUAUAAAGACGAAAUCUAGUAUGACUGUAUUCCGAUGGACGUAGGUCAAGUCAUUCUAGGGAGACCUUGGCUAUACGAUAUGGACGUCACACUUCAUGGACGUUCGAAUUCGUGUAGCUUUAUGUUCCAGGAUCGAAAAAUUAUACUGAAUUCAUUGCCUCCUAGAGAGCCCGCCCCUGAAAAGAAGAGUGCCACUAUACGAAAAGACGAAAUCUAUUAUGACUGUAUUCCGAUGGACGUAGGUCAAGUCAUUCUAGGAAGACCUUGGCUAUACGAUAUGGACGUCACACUUCAUGGACGUUCGAAUUCGUGUAGCUUUAUGUUCCAGGAUCGAAAAAUUAUACUGAAUUCAUUACCUCCUAGAGAGCCCACCCCUGAAAAGAAGAGUGCCACUAUACGAAAAGAUGAAUCACUUCACAUCUUUACUCCGAAAGAGGUAAUGAAAGUUAUUGAAAGCCAAUCACCUGUGUUUGCCCUUGUGGCUAGAGCAUCAAUAUGGAGCCGAACCCUGAGCAUCCACCGACAGUAGUUCUUUUGUUGGAGGAGUUUCAUUAUGUUUUCUCUAAGGAUCUUUCAGACACACUUCCUUCGAUGCGUGAUAUCCAACAUGUAAUUGAGCUCGUUCCUAGAACAUCCUUACCAAAUCUUCCCCAUCAUAGGCUCAACUCAAACGAGCAUUUUAAACUGAAACGUCAAGUUGAUGAACUCUUCACACGAGGGUAUAUUUGUGAGAGUCUGAGCCCCUAUGUUGUACCCGCACUCCUCACCCCCAAGAAAGAUGGUUUUUAGAGGAUGUGUUGAUAUCCGUGCCAUCAAUAAAAUCACGAUUAAGUAUCGUUUUUCCAUCCCUAGGCUGGACGAUCUCUUAGAUUUUAUGUCUGAUGCCACGAUUUUUUCUAAGAUUGAUCUGAAGAGCGGGUACCACCAGAUUCGAAUUCGUCUCGAAUAUCCAUGGCAAGAUGUCAGUAUGGACUUCGUGUUAGGACUUUCUCGUACCUCUAUCAAGCACAAUUCCAUUUUUGUGAUUAUGGACCAUUUCUCCAAUAUGGCUCACUUUUUUCUUUGUUCUAAGACUUCUGACGCUUCUAGAGUUGCCAAACUUUAUUUUAAUGAAGUUGUUAGAGCUCCUGACUUUCCAAAAUUUAUUAUAUCUGAUAGGGAUGUUAGAUUCGUGAGCUACUUUAGAAAAAUUCUUUAGCACAUGAUAGGCACCAAACUAAAAUUUUCUUUUGCCUAUCAUCCUCAAACCGACAGCCACACUGAAGUUGUCAACCGUAGCCUUAGAAACUUGUUAAAAUGUCUGCAAGGUAAACGUGCUAGGACCUGAAAUUUAGUGUUACCGACAGCCGAGUUUGCAUAUAAUAGUUCGGUUAAUAGGUUCUUAGGCAUGAGUCCCUUUGAAUGGUUAUAAACUUAGGCAGCCCAUAGACCUAAUUUUUAUGUCUCAUCAACAUAGAGUCUCUGAGUCUGCAUAAUCAUUUGUAUCACACCUGCAUUCAUUGCAUCAGAAAAUCAGCAAACGUAUUCACUCUAAUAACUUAAAAUAUAAAUCCCUUGCUGAUUUGUACAAACGUUAUAAAGAGUUGAAUGUAGGAGAUUACGUCAUGGUGAGAAUUCAACCAGAACGAUUUCCUUCGGAAACCAUGAGUAUAAAAUCAAGCAACCAAUCCAACUCAACCUUCAUAUAGCACUUCACAAAAAAAAAGAAAAAAUUGCAAGUUCUAAUUAGUCAACUCAGGAAUCCAUUAUUCAUGCGUGAGUUCUAGAAGAAAAUAUUUUCAGCCAAGGACUUUUUUGCCGGAACCGGAGCCCGGACCGGUUGCCCGGCCACACGGGUCAAUACGGCCCUGUGCUGUUCUGUGCUAGGCCCGUACCGACACAGUUGAGGGGGCGAAGGAGGGGGAGAGUGGGAGAGAGAAAAAGAGAGAGAAGGGAGAGAGAGGGAGGGAGAGAAGAGGGUGGCGGAGGUCGGCGGAGGGUCGACGAGCCGUGUGGAGGGGCGAAGGAAGGGCUCUGCCUCUGGUCCCCUAUUUCAUUCGAAACGGGAGUCCCAGAGGGGCCCCCCUUUUAUUUUCGUUAUUUUUAAGUGAAGUCGACAAACUCCUCCUUCUCUUUCUUUCUCUUUCUCUCCCUCCCUUCCCUGCUCUCUUUGUUUUUCUCUCUUUCCUUCUCCUCUUCCUCCAUCGUCGGUUUCUCAUUUUGGUUGCCGGAAUCGUUUUGGUCUGCUGCCGGUACGGCUCGGUACACUCCGAAUAAAGCAGUUUGGGACGGUUCCGCCGACUAUGUUUUCAGCAGAUACAUCCUUAGAAUGAAUUACAAAAUCAUUCCUUAGGCAACAUCAACUACAUGACAUGCCAACACGGCCUUCAAACUCGGCUUGGUUUCCAGAGCUUAUACUUUGUAGUCCCAUUAAUGUACCAUCAUGUACGAUCUCGCUAUCUCUCUCUAUCUAUCUCUCUCCCCCCUUUCCUCCCACCACUCCCCAACCCCCUUCUCUCUAUCUAUCUAAUUAUACACAAAAACAGAAAUUGAAUGCAUGCAUUUAUAUCUGCAUUAGCCUCAAAUUCCAGGUCAAAAUUGACGGUGUCAUCUGCAGUCAAAACUUCUAAAAAAUCACACAAUUGUUAAGCAUUCCAAUAAUCCCGAAAACUUUCACAUGCUUGUUGACUGGAAUAAUAGUUGAGCUUGUUUCAAUAAGUCUCCUUUCUAACACAAAUUUCUUGCUAACAGCAAUGACCUUAUCUCAGCACCAUUAGUUUCUUAAACAGACAGAUAUGAAUAUCAAAGUCUGCAACAUUAUCAACAGUCGGACUUUUUAUGGAUCUAUUUAGUAGCUACCAGCCUUGCUUUCAAGAACAGAAUGAACUUAAUGCUAGGACUUCAGUCCAUUCUCCAUUAUUACUCAUAAUAGUUCUAUAUGAAAAAAAAAGCUUUGUACUUUGGGGGAGUUGUUUCAACCUUAUCAACUAGCUUCCUAAUAGUUCACAAGAAAAGAAACACUAUGAUGCAUAACUUUCUUCUCCUAAACCCAAAUCCAAUAGGAUAUCUCAAACUUAACUUAAAAGAAGAACAUUCCCCAAAAGAAUAGAAAGCAGUAAGCAUCUUCAGAUCUCUUGCUAUACUCAAAGGUGACAGCCAUCAUUGAAAUGGCACACAACAAGCCUAUUAGAUGUAUGAAAAUUGCUGAAACUGUCACUAAAACAUCUCAGAAUUUGAUCAGCUCAAGCUCUAUGAAACAAAUCACUUGUGAUGUGUUCCUGGAGAAAAUUACAUACCGUGUAUUUUUUUUCUUUCUGAAUUCCAAGUAGCAGAGCAAAAUGUAUCUUAAUGAGUAUGUUCAUUUUGUGAAACCUUAAUGAAAAGCAUAGAGUUGCAUGCACCUAUCAAGACAUACUUAGUCCCUUUUAUGAUUGUUUUCAUGUUCCUUUUAUGAUUCUGUGUAACACCCAAUACAAAAUCAAGUAAUUCCGGUAACUUCUGAUUCUUGAUAAACCAUUUGCAAAUUCAGAUGAAUUUAAAUGACUUGCUGCAUGUUGUUUUUAGGGUUUUUUGCAUGAAUACCUUUCUAAAAAUUUAAAUUUGCGUAAAUACCCUCUUAAAUUUAUAUUUAUUUCUGUAUCCUCAUAAAACACUGUUUUUGCACAAAUGCCCCUUAAUAUUACUUUUCUUCUAACACCGUUAAUAGAAACUAUAUUUAUUUUAAUUAAAAAUAAAAUAAAAUUUUUAUGAAGUUUAUGUCAGCCAUAGAGCAUGAGAACUGAGAUUCUGAGGAUAACGUGUAUUCUAGAAAACAUAUUAAAUCCCCAAACACUACCACUAGAGAAGUUUACUAGAAAGAGACCUAGUGAUCAUGAUUUCAAAGAAGGCCCAAGCCUAAGCAUGUAUCUUAAAAUGGUCUUUUGUGGAAAGAGACAUUGAUAUAGUGGCCCAGUGGCCACAUGAAUUCUUCCAACUUCAUGAAGACCAUAAAUCUCUCCAUUUGGACAUUACCAUAUCCUCAUACUUGAAGAAAUUAUGAAGUAGCAUUUCCAUGAUUUAGGUUAUUGAAGAAUUAUGAAGUAGCAUUAACCAUGAUUGUCGACACUCUACACACUCCCUUAUUAUAUGCACUGCUUACAUAUGGAUAACUGAAUUGGGUAAUUUAAUCAGUAAUCUACUAAAACCAUAUAUUAAAACAAGAGCAAAAUGUAUCUUAAUGAGCAUGUUCAUUUUGUGAAACCUUAAUGAAAAGCAUAGAGUUGCAUACACCUAUCAAGACCUAUUAUUUAUUGUCUAAGAAUAUUGAUUUAAUCAUUCAACAUUAUGACCUAUUAUUUAUUGCUGAAAGUAGGGGGGACUCUAAAUACUGCUAGCAUGGGUAAUAACCAAAACUUAAUCCUAUCUCAUUGUAAAUGUCAACUCAAUCUUCAAAAUUUCACUACUUGAUCUUCCUCCUAGAUUGAAGAUACGCCCGACCAAACUCUUCUUUGAAAAGAAAAUUUUUACUAUGACUAAUCUGUUUUGAGCCCUGAACGUUGUUAUAGAGAGAUAGACCUACAUCAAUUGUAUGCAACGAACCCCUUAAGGUGGUCUCACCCUCAUAGUACUCGUCAAGAGCUAAGUUUAACGCCUGACACACCAAAAAUGGACACGGCAUAGAAAGUUAUGGCCUCUGAAAGUUAUGACCAAGUGUUGGAUGCAGCUGAUCUUACUCCAAAGUCCCGUCCAAAUCUACCUAGCAUGGCUAGAGUGGUCUACAAUAGGACCACCAACACCAACACUAGCCAACCCAGACUGCAUAGCAAGCCAUAAACCACAGAGUAUGAAAUCAAGCAACCAAUCCACCUCAACCUUCAUAUAGCACUUCACAAAAAAAAAGGGACUCAAAUACAAGUUCUAAUUGGUCAACGCAGGAACCAAUUAUUCAUACACGAGUUCUAGAAGAAAAUAUUUUCAGCAUAUACAUCCUCAAAAUGAAUUUAAAGGUCAUUCCUUAAGCUACAUGAACCAUAAGACUUAUGCCUACAUGGCCUUCAAAUGCAGUUGCGUUUCUCAAGCUCAGACUUUGCAGACCCAUUAAUGUGCCAUCAUGUACAAUCUCUUUCUCUCUCUCUCUCUCUCUCUCUAUAUAUAUAUAUAUAUAUACAUAUAUAUAUAUAUAUAUACAUAUAUAUAUAUAUAUAUAUAUAUAUAUAUAUAUAUAUAUAUAUAUAUAUACUAUAUAUAUAUAUAUAUAUAUAUAUAUAUANNNNNNNNNNNNNNNNNNNNUAUAUAUACAUAUAUAUACAUAUAUAUACAUAUAUACAUAUAUAUAUACAUAUAUAUAUAUAUAUACAUAUAUACAUAUAUAUAUAUAUAUAUAUCCACACUUCCCUCCCUCCAUUCCCCAACCUCCCUUCUCUCUAUCUCUCUAAUUAUACACAAAAUCAGAAAUCCACUGCAUGCGUGCAUUUAUAUAUACAUUAGCCUCAAAUUCCAGGUCAAAAUUGAUAGUGUCAUCUGCAGUCGAAACUUCUAAAAAUCACGUGACUGUUAAGCAUUCCAAUAAUCCCCAAGCCUUUCACAUGCUUGUUGACUAGGCUAAUAGAUGAGCUUGUUUCAAUAAGUCUUCUUUAACACAAAUUCCUUGCUAACAGCAGCGACCUUAUCAACAUUAUUAGUCUCUUAAACAGACAGCUAUGAAUAUCGAAGUCUGCAACAUUAUCAACAGUUGGACUUUUAUGGACCCAUUUAGUAGCUACAAACCUUGCUUUCAGGAAAAAUACGAAUUAAAUGCUAGGACUUUAGUUCAUUCUCCACUAGUACUCACAAUAGUUCUAUGUGAAAGAAAGCUAUGUACUUUGGGGGAGUUGUUUCACAAGAAGAGAGACACUAAAUCCAAUAAAUCCAAUAGGGUCUCUCAAACUUACCUUAAUGAGAGAAUAUUCCCCAAAAGAAUAGAAAGCAGCAAGCCUCCUAAGAUUUCUUGCUAUACUCAAAGGCGAAAGCCAUCAUCAAAGAGGCACAACAAGCAUAUGUAGACAUAUGAAAAUUUAUGCAGAUGGAGACUUCUUUAUACAUGACCAAUGAUGCCAGCAAAAUCCCUUGACCAUUUGUUCAUCAACAACCUUUUUCCACACAUCAGUAGGUCUUCUAUCACAAAAUACCUAAGAACAUGCCUUCAGUCACUCAUUCUCGAUGGCAUGUUUCCUUAAAAAAUUCAACCGGUUUUCAUGGAGAAAGUCUUCUCCAUGGGCAGAUGCAGCACAAUGAGCCUAAUACCAUAGGCAUAAUCCUCUUCCCACUAAUCAGGAGGAAAUGCAGAAGCAGAGCUUAAUUCCUUGAAUUACUCUUGAAAGGAUGUUUACAAGAGACUUUGUCUAAUUACACAUCCUGAGUGUAUUGCUGGCUUAUGAUGAUAAAGAGUAGCAAUCUUAUUAGCGAUGGAAUGGUUUGCUCAUUCCAUUCAAUAUAGAUCAACAAUUUUGAAUGGAAAAUCAUUUUGAUCACAAAUAAAAGAAAAUCUAUAAAUAAAUUGCUCUCUAUUUUAAAGCAAAAAGGUGGUAGAUAAAACUUGUUAAUGCAAAUAAACAAAAGUAACAGAGGAUAAAAUAAGAGCAGGGAUGAAACGAAACAUCUCGUCUCUAUCUUGCUUUAAUUGAUAUAGCAGGGGACAGUUUCUUUGCUGCCUUUCAUGUGACUAAGUGAAGAUAAUGGAACAGGAACACUGACAUGUAAAACAUCAUGUGUUUCACAACCAAACAAUGUCAUUCAAUUUUUGCACAUCCAUGAAAGAAAAGGAUUCAGUGCAUGGUAAAAUCUAAAUAGCUAUGGGUUAGAGCUGACACUAAAUAACAUUAUAUAAGCAAAAACACAUCAACUCCUUUAAUUGAUAACAUGUCUAUCUCGGAACAAAUUGAAGGCAAACCUUCUUCAAAAAACUAAGAAUUACUCACAGUACCAACAAGAAAACUAAGAAUUACUCACUGCACAAAGAGAAUCUUCAUCCUACGACUGCGAUACUGUUUAAACCCACUUACUUCAAAACAAAUUUUAACUGUUUUAAAAAUGUAUCAAAUUUUUAUUCUUUAUUUUUAUAUCCCGUUAGAAAUUUUUAACGUUAGUAUAAUGUCCAGAUCCGCUAGGGAGUUGGAAAGGGAGAGUAUCAGAAGGGGAAAAAAAAAAUCGCAACCAGAAAGUUCUUUUUUCUACUUUUCUAAAUCCUAUCAACAAUCUGUUUCUUGGGACAACGGGGACACCGUCUCGUUCGAGGGGGUGAGAUUUACAACUGCCAGGAGCCUGGGAACGUACCUAAUGCAAAAUCAUCCCAAAACAUUUCUUUGUUCCUUCCAUCUAAUAGCUUAAUUUAAUUUAAUUUUCUGUUUAGUUUUUGUAACAUUGCGAUCAAUAAUCAAUAUAGAUAAAAGAAAACGCCAAAACAAUCUCCAUACUGAAAAAUCGACGAUCUGAAAAUUAGUGAUUUGACAGAAUCAUCAAGACAGAAACAAAACCCUAGCGCAAAUUAACAUCUUAGAGGACGAGUUCUUGUUGCCUACCUGUUUCGACGCCAUCGAACCCUCAAGAUCUUGCAAUCGCCUCUGCGGAGCCACCCUAUCAUCCAUCCGAGCACCAUGGGAACAAAAGCACAAGAAUUUUAUACCUGUCAAGGAUUUGGUACAUUGCUUGAACUCAAUUAGAAAGGAAAAAGCAAAAAAGAAUCGAAAACCUAAGAAAGAAGACGAAGAGCACCGAUCUCAAGGAAGGUAUAAAUCACUACGAAUCUUAUAUCUAUCCGGAUCUCUGCAUCCUGAUCAGCGUCGGAGGAACGGGUGGCUGCCGCAAGAGAGAUCGAGAUCCUUGAUAGGUCGCCGCCGGCCGCCCGUCGAAUUCUCGCGGAUCGGGGAAGAACCAAAACCCUAAAUUGGAUUUGGGUGGAGCAGAAGAAAGAAAGCCAGCUGAAGAGCUUUUCGGUCCGCUCCCGAAGAGCUUUUCGGUCCGCUCCCGAGGAAGCGAGGAGGGUUUUAGAGGAGAGAGCCGUGGCUCGUAGUAACGGUCCGUGGGGCCCGCAAUAUGGGACGCAAAAAUUCAACGGUGAUGAUUAAGUCUGACGGAACUGGACGGCUUACAAAAUAUUUCGCUCCAUCGCCCUCUUUGGUUACGUCCGAGAUUGGGCUUGUCGUUUUUUUUUUUUUUUUUAAAGAAAAGAACAAGAGCAAACGGAUGUGAUAGGACAGCGCUGCUGGGAAAGAGGAAACAAGUGUCUUAGUGAUGCUGCACACGUGCAAUGGCCGGCCGCAAUUUUUUUUACGGCUGAUAAUCCAACUUUAGGAGGGGUGCGGCCAACAAAAUUGUAAGUGAAAAAAUAGCCUAAAGAUAAGAGAAGCUCCCUAAUAUGUUCAGAAAAUCUCUUCAAAAUACUAGACGGCAUAGAUAGUAACUCUGUCUGUAGCCCUGUUCGUUUUAUUUGGAAGGCGCUGCACUCUUCCGCUAAUGAAUGGAUGUCGCAAAGAAGGGGAGACUCUUCUCUCAUCCGCCCCUCCCCGCAUAUCCAGUCGACCGCCAUGGCCACAUCUUCCUCGAGAAGGAUCCGCUUCGCCCUCAGCACUGUAGCCGGCCGCGUUUUUAUCGCAUGCUUGUUGUACUUCGGGUUUCGGAUAAGUCACCUUGCGCAAUAAGGUGAGAUAAUGGCUUUCUUCAAUUCAUAACCCACUUAUUAAUCAGGUUGAGAAAAAUAUAGAUUAAUGUGCUCAAUUAUCAUAUUUUCAAAAUAAUGUGGAUUAAUAUCCAAUUCACCAACUUAAAUAUCGUAAUUUUAGAGUGCUAGACUUAAUUGUAGAUUCAUCUAUCUUAUGGAGAAAACAGAAAACUAAGGCUAAAAAUAGACUGCUAUAAUUGGAUGCCGAUAAGAGAGUAGAAGAGGAUAAAAUUAAUGAGGAAAAAAAUGCGUGUUUCUUAAUAACUCAAUUGUGAGUUGGUUUUCUUUUUUAACUAUUAGUUGCAUGGCUUUGUUAUUUACUUGAAGCAACCUUGGCAAAAGAUCGACCUACUGCUUUAUAAUCACGAUGUCCAAAAGUUUAGAACUAGGUUUUAAAGAUUUGUCCCAACUGUGGUAUAUAAACUCUAUGAAUUGAACCCAAGUAUGGCGUACUCAUGAUUGGAUUGGUUACAACUGACUCAAAGCUGACCUAAUUACGAAAAAUAUUAUUCAUCCAACUCCAUUUAUUUCAAAUAGAUUUGGAUAAGUUGGCAUGUCCCAAUAAGAACUUACCGUCAUUAAGAUAAAAGGUUUUAUAGAAGAUAUGGCGUAGCAUCUUUCUUUUUAUAUAUCAAUAUAAAAUAGUUGAUUUGCAUUUCUUUGUCGAUAUGUUUUCUUUCAUUUUGUUGAUACUAAAAUUGAAUGCGCUAUACAAUGCUUGUCAUUUCUCAGCCGAAUAUUUUUUUAUUACUUAUACAAUUAAAACAUAUAUUUAUAGUUUUGAAACAUAAACUUCUUUUCUCGGCCUAUUUAAAUUAAGAUCUAAAGUAGACUGCGUAUAUUUGAAUAGCAUAUAUCAGAUAGAUGUUGAAAUUCUCAUAUUACAGAUGGUUCCACCUCUAAAUGCCAUUUUUCUCAUCAUGUUUAUCCUGUAAAUCCUUCUCAUCAUGUUAGAACUGAAGUGAAAAAAAAAACCCAGUAUCGCUUGCUGGACUCCAAAACUUCUACAUUACAUUUGAACCAAAAAAAAAAAAAACUUCUACAUUACAUGCAGAGAGACAAGUAGGGUUUGGAAAAGAUACUAAAAUAUUAUUUUAAGUGGAUCCAACUGGUGUCAUAUUGCUUUAAAAAAAAAAUACAUAUCUUAUCAGCAAUCCAAAGGUACCUGUUAAUGCAUGCAGCGGUAUGUGACGUUAUUCUGUGAUUAGAGAAUCUUUUCUUGACGUCCCUCUCCCUUGUCCCUUCUACUNNNNNNNNNNNNNNNNNNNNNNNNNNNNNNNNNNNNNNNNNNNNNNNNNNNNNNNNNNNNNNNNNNNNNNNNNNNNNNNNNNNNNNNNNNNNNNNNNNNNNNNNNNNNNNNNNNNNNNNNNNNNNNNNNNNNNNNNNNNNNNNNNNNNNNNNNNNNNNNNNNNNNNNNNNNNNNNNNNNNNNNNNNNNNNNNNNNNNNNNNNNNNNNNNNNNNNNNNNNNNNNNNNNNNNNNNNNNNNNNNNNNNNNNNNNNNNNNNNNNNNNNNNNNNNNNNNNNNNNNNNNNNNNNNNNNNNNNNNNNNNNNNNNNNNNNNNNNNNNNNNNNNNNNNNNNNNNNNNNNNNNNNNNNNNNNNNNNNNNAAAUCACCACUUUUCCUAAAAGCUUAAGUUGAUAGGAUGAGGUAGUAUUUAUUUAUAUAUUUUAUAUUUUCUUACCACUCCCCCUCCCAUGUGGGCCGGACUUUCCUUUAAUGGGCGAGCCCAACAUGUGAAAUUUUUUAUAAUGGGGUUAAAGAGUGCGGAGACAGGGUUCGAACUCAGGACCUCUGCUCUAAUACCAUGUUGAAAUCACCACUUGUCCUAAAAGCUUAAGUUUUUAGGAUAAGUGGUGAUUUCUACAGUAUGAGUUCCAGGGCCAAACCUCGCAUGUUAUGUAGAGGCCAAGCCCAUUCCAAUAAACUAUUUGGUGAUCAAGCCCAAUCGAUGUCGCAUUCUUUCGCAACAUAAACCAUUGGAUUGCAUUUUGCACAAAUCUCAAAGCAGUCCAAGUUCUUCCUACAACCUACCUGCACAGCUCUCAAAACAGCCAAUAUGCGAUCUAAUGGUUGAUGCUUCGAAUCAUUCUAUCGCAUGAAAGAUACAAUCUAAACCCUAUGUUUAAGUGAUAAGUAUAGAAGAAUGUUGAUUUCAGCUCUUAUUUAUGCCUACUUCUCCGCUUGGCACCUGAACUUGCACCGUAGGGAGUUUGUAGCCCGCCCAACCUGAUAGACAUGCCUAAAAUUGUCUGUCUCUCUUUUCGUAUCAAAACAAAGCUUCUGUUCUAGAAUAGUGCUCUUUUUAAGAGUAGACGUGGAGAGGAGAAACUUGCAAGUAGAAAUAAUCAAAAAAUUAUAAAAUUUAAUCACAUUUUUGUUGAAAAAAAGAUGUUUUUUAAUAAAAUAAGAGUCGGAGAACGGCUUGGCUUUAGAAAGUUUUUUUGGGAAAAAAAAAGGGGUUCCCAAUGCUUCUCCACACCCAACGAGAUGCACCAACCUCGGGAUGCUUUACUCCUACCCCCUCCCUCCGGGCGCUAUCUUAUAAGCAGACGCAACUAGAAGAUAUUAUUGUUUUUAUCUAAGUUAGAAGCUUUUAUAUAGCUUAAACCCUUUUCUUUUCUCAGGUAUUAAAAAUAAUCUUUCUAAAAUGUGAACGAGAGAACCAGAUUGACCCUUGCAAUCCACUUUCAUAUAUAUACUUUGGCGCAUCUCUGAACAAGCAAAUCUCAAUGCUUCUGUCGGAUGCGCUAAUAGCAACGGCUUGAGCGCCUUUUGGUCAAGACGGUGAUUUCUGCUUUUCAGCCUCUGUUUGCUAUAAAAGGUCGAAACUAUAACAAAUGAGAAGCUAUAUGGCUCAGCUCCAUCAUAAUUAUUCUGAUAUAACUAGCUCCAAAAAUAAAUGAAAAAAAAUAUCCCAUUUCAUCUUAUAGAAUGGAGAGAAGAGCUUGCCUUUUAUGCCGGGGAAAGUUUCCUGUUGCAUCAGAUAAGGUCCCUCGUAUUCAUACAAAAUCUGAAAGGCUUAUUAGGAUCCUGUUUGGCCUUGAUGUUAUCUGUGUUUUUGUUUCUUUACAUGUUGUUGAUAUGCCAAAAGGUAGCGUUUUCAAAAAUUUCUUGUUACUUUCCAUAUUCAAUUUUACUCUUUUUUUC
rnacentral:lncRNA from 1 species